GACGAACGCUGGCGGCGUGCUUAACACAUGCAAGUCGAACGGAAAGGCCCUGCUUUUGUGGGGUGCUCGAGUGGCGAACGGGUGAGUAACGCGUGAGUAACCUGCCCUUGACUUUGGGAUAACUUCAGGAAACUGGGGCUAAUACCGGAUAGGAGCUCCUGCUGCAUGGUGGGGGUUGGAAAGUUUCGGCGGUUGGGGAUGGACUCGCGGCUUAUCAGCUUGUUGGUGGGGUAGUGGCUUACCAAGGCUUUGACGGGUAGCCGGCCUGAGAGGGUGACCGGCCACAUUGGGACUGAGAUACGGCCCAGACUCCUACGGGAGGCAGCAGUGGGGAAUAUUGCAGAAUGGGCGGAAGCCUGAUGCAGCAACGCCGCGUGCGGGAUGACGGCCUUCGGGGUGUAAACCGCUUUCGCCUGUGACGAAGCGUGAGUGACGGUAAUGGGUAAAGAAGCACCGGCUAACUACGUG
rnacentral:rRNA from 1 species